rnacentral:SRP_RNA from 1 species
CCUUUCUUUGAUUUUAGUUAACUUGAGCUUAAGGUACUUUUAUGGUAGAGUGUAUUCUAAACGAAUCACCUCUUAUCUGGAGCCGAUGCGGUUUCUGUGCGAUGAGGCCCGUGAACCCUGUCAGGUCCGGAAGGAAGCAGCAGUAAGCGGUCAACCUCAGGUGCUGCAGACCUCUCUGCAUCGACUUCAGACAAGGGGUGUCGUUAUAUGGGAGG